GUCACUUCUGAAUUUGAGCCCCAGUAUGAUUGCUACUAUCACCUGCAUUAUACAUGAAUAUCCAUUUGGAAUUUAGGGUAAUAAUAGAACAAAUGCUCCUGUUUAAGAGCCUGGCAGUCUAUAAUGGCAAUUUGACUACGAAGAGAACAUUUCAAUGAUAGUUAAAGGGGCUGUGUGCUUGUGAAUCACUAUGGUUUCCACGAGGUGUAAUACGGCAUUUUGUUGGUCAGAAGAAAAGAAUGGUUGUUC